CACUCCUGCGGGAGGCAGCAGUGGGGAAUUUUGGACAAUGGGCGAAAGCCUGAUCCAGCAAUGCCGCGUGAGUGAAGAAGGCCUUCGGGUUGUAAAGCUCUUUUGUCAGGGAAGAAACGGUGAAAGCUAAUAUCUUUUGCUAAUGACGGUACCUGAAGAAUAAGCACCGGCUAACUACGUGCCAGCAGCCGCGGUAAUACGUAGGGUGCAAGCGUUAAUCGGAAUUACUGGGCGUAAAGCGUGCGCAGGCGGUUUUGUAAGUCUGAUGUGAAAUCCCCGGGCUCAACCUGGGAAUUGCAUUGGAGACUGCAAGGCUAGAAUCUGGCAGAGGGGGGUAGAAUUCCACGUGUAGCAGUGAAAUGCGUAGAUAUGUGGAGGAACACCGAUGGCGAAGGCAGCCCCCUGGGUCAAGAUUGACGCUCAUGCACGAAAGCGUGGGGAGCAAACAGGAUUAGAAACCCGUGUAGUCCC
rnacentral:rRNA from 1 species